GGUCGCGUAGCGUAAUGGUCAACGCAACUGGCUUAUAUCCAGCGGACUGAGGGUUCAAAUCCUUCCGCGACUA
rnacentral:tRNA from 1 species